AAUAAAUAGAACAGAAGAUAGCCGGUUUUUCUUUUUCCUCUCUUCUCUUCUCCCCGAGCUUCUUCCAUGGAUUCGCUGUUGAAACGGAAGAUUUAACGGAGGAAUUAAACAUGCAGUCAUACUGAUUCAUCACCAGGCCGGAGAAUUCAUCAAAAAGCAAGUUAUAGACAAAGAUGAGCACUACCCGAAAUCGUUUUGCCAUUCGAAGACAGAUGAUUACUGAAGAACAACUAGCUGAUCAAAGAGAAUUGGAUCGUGUGAGACACAGAAAUCGCAGGAAAAAUAUGACGGAGGAAGAGAAGCUGCUGGAACUAGAGUGUAGGUGUAUAUAUAGCCGCAAAGGAAAACGCAAACCAAACUUUAUUUGGACAGACAGUUUGGAGUGCCUUAUUUGCUUACCGUUUUUCGUCUUUUCAUAUUUAUCAAUGAUAUUUAGCUUUCUAAUUCUCAUGGCAUUCUCUAAGUCGAAGGAUAUGACAAGGUAGUCUCAAGAAGUGGAUCAAAAAUAUACUUGAAAUGGUGGAUAGUUCUUACAUCAGAAGCUCUUAUGAUGUAACCAGAGUCACGAAGAUGGAAGACAAGGAUGAGGUGCUUCUGAAAUUGCGUUAAGCCGCUGAUGGUGAUGUCUUUUCAGCACCCGAUGGUGCUCCUGGCUUGCAUCAUGGAGUAGUUACUCGCGGAGGUAACAUUGUGUAUGAGUGAGAGAACAAUAAUACAAGGCAAAAUAAACGGAUGAAAUGAUCAAGACAUGGGAUUAUGAACAUUUUUAUGUAUGUAUAUGUUACAUCUACUUAGUUAUGUAGUAGGAGCAUCACAACUUCAUGCAUCAUAUAACCAAGCCAGGAAAAAUGGGAUAUUGGUAACCCUCAUUCCCAAUAACCUAUCUUUUAUUUUUUUUGGUCAUAUACAAUUGGACCACUGUAUAAUAGGUGUUUCAUUGGUCUCUCACGUCUUUUACUAAACCAAGUAAGGAAGAGGAGAACUUAUCAUUA